rnacentral:rRNA from 1 species
UACAGAGGGGGCAAGCGUUGUUCGGAAUCAUUGGGCGUAAAGGGCGCGUAGGUGGUUCUGUAUGUCUACCGUGAAAGCGUACGGCUCAACCGUAUUUUGUCGGUAGAAACUGCAGGACUUGAGGCUGGGAGGGGCUGGUGGAAUUCCCUGUGUAGCGGUGAAAUGCGUAGAGAUGGGGGAGAACACUCGUGGCGAAGGCGGCCAGCUAGACCAGUUCUGACGCUGAGGCGCGAAAGCUAGGGGAGCAAACAGG